CCUACGGGAGGCAGCAGUGGGGAAUCUUGCACAAUGGAGGAAACUCUGAUGCAGCGAUGCCGCGUGAGUGAAGAAGGCCUUUGGGUUGUAAAGCUCUUUUGUAGGGGAAGAUAAUGACUGUACCCUAAGAAUAAGGUCCGGCUAACUUCGUGCCAGCAGCCGCGGUAAUACGAAGGGACCUAGCGUAGUUCGGAAUUACUGGGCGUAAAGCGCGCGUAGGCCGUUGAGUUAGUUAAUUGUGAAAUCCCAAAGCUUAACUUUGGAACUGCAAUUAAAACUGCUCGACUAGAGUUUGAUAGAGGAAAGCGGAAUACAUAGUGUAGAGGUGAAAUUCGUAGAUAUUAUGUAGAACACCAGUUGCGAAGGCGGCUUUCUGGAUCAACACUGACGCUGAGGCGCGAAAGUAUGGGUAGCAAAGAGGAUUAGAUACCCUCGUAGUCCAUACCAUAAACGAUGAUUGCUAGAUGUUGGAAAUUUAUUUUACAGUAUCGCAGCUAACGCAUUAAGCAAUCCGCCUGGGGAGUACGACCGCAAGGUUAAAACCUCAAAUGAAUUGACGG
rnacentral:rRNA from 1 species